rnacentral:rRNA from 1 species
GACGAACGCUGGCGGCGUGCUUAACACAUGCAAGUCGAGCGGUAAGGCCCUUUCGGGGGUACACGAGCGGCGAACGGGUGAGUAACACGUGGGUGACCUGCCCUCAGCUCUGGGAUAAGCCUGGGAAACCGGGUCUAAUACUGGAUAUGACUCCAUGACGCAUGUUGUGGGGUGGAAAGCCUUGUGCGGCUGAGGAUGGGCCCGCGGCCUAUCAGCUUGUUGGUGGGGUGACGGCCUACCAAGGCGACGACGGGUAGCCGGCCUGAGAGGGCGACCGGCCACACUGGGACUGAGACACGGCCCAGACUCCUACGGGAGGCAGCAGUGGGGAAUCUUGCGCAAUGGGCGAAAGCCUGACGCAGCGACGCCGCGUGAGGGAUGACGGCCUGGUGU